UACGUAGGUGACCAGCGUUGUCCGGAUUUACUGGGCGUAAAGAGCGCGCAGGCGGUCGUUCAAGUCGAGUGUGAAAGCCCCCGGCUCAACUGGGGAGGGUCAUUCGAUACUGAUCGACUUGAAGGCAGGAGAGGGAAGCGGAAUUCCCGGUGUAGUGGUGAAAUGCGUAGAUAUCGGGGGGAACACCAGUGGCGAAGGCGGCUUCCUGGCCUGUUCUUGACGCUGAGGCGCGAAAGCUAGGGGAGCAAACGGG
rnacentral:rRNA from 1 species